GUGCCAGCCGGCGCGGUCAUACCGGCAGCCCAAGUGAUGGCCGCUGUUAUUGGGCCUAAAGCGUCCGUAGCUGGCCGCACAAGUCCGUCGGGAAAUCCGCCCGCUCAACGGGCGGCCGUCCGGCGGAACCUGUGUGGCUUGGGACCGGGAGGCCUGAGGGGUACGAUCGGGGUAGGAGUGAAAUCCUGUAAUCCCGCUCGGACCGCCGAUGGGGAAACCACCUCAGGAGAACGGAUCCGACAGUGAGGGACGAAAGCUCGGGUCUCAACCCGGAUUAGAUACCCUAGUAGUCC
rnacentral:rRNA from 1 species